CAAAAUCCUGUUUUCUGAAACAGAUGUAGGCUGUGGAACAUUCCUCUGCUGAGAUCCUGGGGUAGGAUCAAUGGAGAAGAGUCCUUUGGCAGUCUCUUUGCUAAUCCUGUGGCUUCAUCUUGGCCGAGCGGGCAGCGUAUUGAAUGUGGAACAGUAUCCCCUGUUGCUUCAUGUUCAGGAAGGAGAAAACACUAAUUUCACCUGCCGUUUUCCUACCAGCAAUUUUUAUGCCUUACAGUGGUACAGAUGGGAAUCUGCAAAAAGCCCUGAGCUCCUGUUUACAAUUACUUUAAAUGGGGAUGAAAAGGAGGAAGGACGAGUAAAAGUCACUCUUGAUACUAAGAAGGGUUCUAGCUCCUUGUACUUCAAAGGAUCCCAGCUGGAAGAUGCAGCCAUGUACCUCUGUGCCUGGACACAGUGCUCUUCAGGCACCUGCAGCCCAUACCCAAACCCGUGGCUGGUGCUGCUCUGGUGUCAGCGUUGACAAGUGCCAUGUGCAGGGUGGAAAAGGCAAACUCAUUGAACUACAGUGUUUUUCAAUAAUCAGGGGAAAGUGCAGACAGACAAACAAACCUUCUAGUCACUGUAGCUCCCUCAAUUAACUGGAUUAUUCCUAAGCACCACUAACCUCAACUCCCACCAACAUAUUAGCUGUGUCACCAAGUUGAGUCAGACCCCUUGCUUCCUCUUUUGGCAUAACCGAUUGCAGAGGAACUAGAUGGUUACUCCAGCCUACCUAAAAUAAUCUGGUUAAACUGGGAUAACAUUUACUCCUCACUGUUGUUACAUCCUAAAAGCUGGUCAUUCAGUCAUAUCUCUUCACAUGCAUGAGUGGAACAUGUGAACAUGGCCUCUUCUCAUAUCUGGCAUGGAGCUCUGCACGCACCAUAUCAGAACGGGGUUUGGGGAUUGGGGUCUGGGUUCAGUUCAACCUACCCCCUACGUGAACAUC